CUCCAUUUAUAGAGGAAGAAAUAGCAUUCCUCUAUUUUUUACUCUACAUUUAAAGAUUGCUAUUUUAGAAGAAUACAUAGGAGCAUAUUUCACCUCUAUUAUAGAGUUCUUCUAUUUUAGAGGUAAAAAUAGCAAAAUAUAUUGGAGAUGGUCUUAAGGCAUCUCCAACAGUACUCUAUAAUUUUCGUUAUAUUCAAUUCUAAAAUAAAAUAAUUUUAUUAUAAAAUUGAAUUUGCUUCAAUAGUUAACUCUAUAACGGAAUAUUGUUUUUUACUUUAAAAAUAGAGUAAAAAAUAACAUUUAUCUAUAUUUCACUUUACAAUAGACUAAUCAUAUUAUAAAAUAAAUUAUUGUAGAAAAUCUAACUCUAAUAGAAUUAUUUAUUUUAGAAUAAAAUAUAGAAAAAAAUUAUAAAUUACCAUUGGAGAUGGUUUUACAAAACCACACAAAUUUGUUCUUAUCUCAAACAUUUUAUAUAUGGAAUUAAAAGUUCCGACCUAAAAAUAUGAACUUUUAAAUAUAAUUCUUCGUAGUGAUUAAAUAUAACUAAAAUCUCCCAAACUAGAAAUUAAAGACUGUGUAACCCAACUACCCAUAUCAUUUUCAUCGUCAUCAAUCCCACUCUCUGCAACGACAUCAACGCCAAAGAUCACUGUCAUCAUCAUGACCUCAUUUUUGCCAAUUUUUUUUAUUAUGGAAACACUAACUUUGUUAAAUUGUGUUUAAAACGAAAAUACAAAAUCAAUAUAUAUAGUAAUGAAUUAAAGUAAUCUAUAACUAUAAACUCGAAAUAUCUGACUUUUUAGGUUGUCCACGUCACUCUGGAAAGGAGAGGCUUUGUUGCCACGUGGCAUUAGUAAAAACAGGCAACAACCGGGUUUAUAACUUUAUCUGGACUGUCUUUGAUUUUUCUUAUUGGCUUUUAGAAUACAAAGACUAAUUUUAUGAAUUUACCUAGGCUAGACUUUUACUUUUAUCUUUCGUUGGGCUUUUAGUUAAACUCAGCUUCAUUUUUUCUGAAAACGACGUAGCCACCGGUCUUGUCGAUGAAUGUUCCAUACCAUCUUCUCCGCCGCAGCUGUGUAACCGGCAUAGGUUGUAUUCAAUCAACCUCAUUUACGAUUGCUUUAACACCACUGACCCACUACUUUGAUAACCUUUGAAGAGUCACCUCCGUAUUCCAAAAGACAAAUCUGCAAUAAGGAGCAAACGUCUCCACUUCGAGCUCUCUUCCGAGCCCUAAUCUGAAGUCUUUUGCGGGUUUCCACAUCUUCGUGGCUGCCAUCAGUAAACCAUACACGAGUCAGCCGCUAAAGCCCCCCCCUCCCCCUCCCCCCUGUAGAACCACCACAUGAAACCUCACCUCCUAAACAAUAUUCGUGCCCAAAUUCAGAUCCACAUAGUCGACGCCAUAUCACACCGGGCUCAUCCAAAGAAUCGCGCACAGAGACAUCACUGAAAGAUAAGGCACGGCGUGAGUAAAAGAAGUACUGACGCAACGAUGCAGAAGAUAAGGAUAUGACGGUAGAACAGGUCGAAGAUGCCACAGUGGAGAUAGAGCUUACCGGCUCUGUAGUAAAAUUCCGGAAAAAAACUAUUUGUAAUUGUUCAACUUGAUGCUCUGUUAUACCUCUGCUUAUGAUUUACGUUUUUUAUAAGUAUAUUCUUAGAACUAAUUCCUUAUCACCUGAUUGAUGAAUUGCUUCCAAAUAAAUGAAUUGCCUUCUGAGUACUGUCUAUUUUGUAUUGUUUUAUGGUUUUCGGUUUUAGAGGACGAGCUUUGGAAGAAGCUCUCCAUUCAACGAGCUUAUAACAUUUUAAGGACAUGAGCGGCAACAAACAUGGUUAUAACAUUACUGUGUAUAUUAUAUGUGUUGGUUAGCAGAUAUCAUGGCGACAAUGAUGACAAAGUUACUAAGACUAAGUACUGUGUCUGGUAAGUUUCAACACAAGAUGCGACAAGCAACGCCUUACUCUGGCUAUACUUAAAGGAUUCUCAGUUCAAUGAAGUGGAGAUAGAAGAGUAUCAGUUCAGAGCGAUAGGUAUUGCACUCGUACUCGACAAUGGAACUCAGGUUCUUCUAUAGUUUUAUAUCCAUUCUUGAGAAGGUCCUUCUCAGAUCAUUAAUUGAUGUAUUUUUAAACCUACAGGUUACUAAUCUAUUUCAAAUUCCAGGAACUCAUUCUAAUUUUUUCUUUGAAUCGAUUAAAUUAAUAUGAACUAAAAUCCUGAAUGGUUUAGUCGAUCACCGUAGAAACUUGCAGUUCAUACACUUUUGCCAGGUUUGUCUGUUGACUUUCUUUGAAAAUUAAUCAAUACUCUAUUCAGAAAUAAAUGCUUAAAUUUCUUCGACUUCAGCUGCCACGUUCAAUAUGUUUUCUUAAGCUGGAUGGUUAUGUUCGGCCUCCUCCUCGCUCUCUUCCCAACCAGACAGUUUCUGUUCUUCUCUGGCUCUUGCACAAAAGAGACUCUUUGAUCCAUUAUACGAUUAGUACGAAGAUGAUUUUGAUUCACACCAUCAUCAUAGAUUAAUACACACCAGAGAAAAAGCCAUAAACUACCUCCAUCAUCAUCAUCGUCAUCACCACCAUCACCAACUCGCCAUGGUGUCAAAACACAUAAUCAUCAUCGUAGGACACACCAGAUACACAGACAACAUCAUCAUCAUGGGCAGUACGAAUACAUUUUGAAGAAGAAGCUUGAUCGUCCUGACCACAACGAGUCUCACUAUUACCAACAACUUCACCGAGUCCAUAAAGAUGACAACCAGAAGCAGCAUAGGCGAGGAGGCAAACAGAGGCAACGUGGGAUGUGAUCGCACGUGCACAUACAAAGGAGAGUUAAAAAGGCCAUUGGCAUGUGGGAAGAAACAUAUUUUGUGUAUGAUAACUAUAGGUUUCACGGAUCUAACUAUCAAAAACCAUAGGCAUUUUUUUGAAAUGACGAAAGCGUUCCUGUCUUCGAUUUCCGAGUAUCUGAAAAACUAUAAUUUACACAGGAUUUUGUUUUGGUCCAUACAACUGUAAAAAAUAAAAAUUAUUACAAAAUAAUAAUAUUUUAGAGCAUAAGAACAACAA